rnacentral:rRNA from 1 species
AAAGGAAUAGACGGGGGCCCGCACAAGCAGUGGAGUAUGUGGUUUAAUUCGAGGCAACGCGAAGAACCUUACCAGGGUUUGACAUCCCGCGCAACGGGUAGAGAUACCCGGUUCCCUUCGGGGACGCGGAGACAGGUGGUGCAUGGUUGUCGUCAGCUCGUGUCGUGAGAUGUUCGGUUAAGUCCGGCAACGAGCGCAACCCUCGUGGCCAGUUGCCAUCAUUUAGUUGGGCACUUUGGCCAGACUGCCGUUGACAAAACGGAGGAAGGUGGGGAUGACGUCAAAUCAUCAUGCCCCUUAUGUCCUGGGCUACACACGUACUACAAUGGGCGCUACAACGGGCAGCCACACCGCGAGGUGGAGCGAAUCCCCAAAGGCGUCCCCAGUUCGGAUUGCAGGCUGAAACUCGCCUGCAUGAAGCCGGAAUUGCUAGUAAUGGCAGGUCAGCAUACUGCCGUGAAUACGUUCCCGGGCCUUGUACACACCGCCCGU